UUAACAGGAUUAGAUACCCUGGUAGUCCACGCCGUAAACGAUGUCGACUUGGAGGUUGUGCCCUUGAGGCGUGGCUUCCGGAGCUAACGCGUUAAGUCGACCGCCUGGGGAGUACGGCCGCAAGGUUAAAACUCAAAUGAAUUGACGGGGGCCCGCACAAGCGGUGGAGCAUGUGGUUUAAUUCGAUGCAACGCGAAGAACCUUACCUGGUCUUGACAUCCACGGAAGUUUUCAGAGAUGAGAAUGUGCCUUCGGGAACCGUGAGACAGGUACUGCAUGGCUGUCGUCAGCUCGUGUUGUGAAAUGUUGGGUUAAGUCCCGCAACGAGCGCAACCCUUAUCCUUUGUUGCCAGCGGUCCGGCCGGGAACUCAAAGGAGACUGCCAGUGAUAAACUGGAGGAAGGUGGGGAUGACGUA
rnacentral:rRNA from 1 species